AGACGGAAGAGGCGAGCGUUGUGCGGAAUCACUGGGCUUAAAGCGCGUGUAGGCGGCCUCGCAAGUACCUUGUGAAAUCCCUCGGCUCAACCGAGGAAUGGCUGGGUAUACUGCGGGGCUUGAGGCAGGUAGAGGUGCCUGGAACUCUAGGUGGAGCGGUGAAAUGCGUAGAUAUCUAGAGGAACGCCCGUGGCGAAAGCGGGGCACUGGGCCUGUCCUGACGCUGAGACGCGAAAGCGUAGGUAGCAAACGGGAUUAGAUACCCCGGUAGUCC
rnacentral:rRNA from 1 species